AAAUAAUAUUUCUCUUAAAUCUAUAAUUGGUUUAAUUUUAGCCAUCUAUUUAUUAAUAAUUUAGUUAACUUAUAUAAUUAAAUAAAAAUUCUAUUUUAGGUUAAAAUAUUAAAUAUUUUAAAAUAAGAUUUAGCUCAAAUUUUAAGAUCAAGUAAAAAUAGUGCCAGCAACUGCGGUUAUACUAUAUAAUCAAAAUAAAGUUAAUUUUAAACAAAGCUUUGAAAGGAAUUAAUUUUAAUUAAGUGAAAUUAAAUAGAUCACUCUCUUUCUAAUUUAAAACCUUAAACUUAAAUAAAAAACUAGGAUUAGAUACCCUAUUAUCUACAUUCCAAUAAUUGAGUAGUAUCAGAAAUCUUGAAACUCAAAAAAUUUGGCGGUGUUUAAAUCUAUUCAGGGGAACCUGUUCCAUAAUCGAUAUUACACGAAAAUCUUAUCUUCUUGCAGUUUGUAUAUCGCCGUAGUAAUUAUAUUUAAAAUUAAUGAUUAAUAAAUAUUUUAUUUCAAACUUCAGGUCAAGGUUCAGCUAAUGAGAAGAUUGAGAAUGGGUUACAAUAUUUCAAAAUAAUACGAAAUUUUUACAUAAAACAAAAAGGAAGGUGGAUUUGAAAGUAAUUUUUAAAUAAUAAAUUAAAAUGAAUUAGCUCUAAAAUAUGCACAUAUCGCCCGUCACUCUCUUAAAAUAGAGAAAAGUCGUAACAUAGUAGGAGUACUGGAAAGUGUUCCUAGAA
rnacentral:ncRNA from 1 species